rnacentral:rRNA from 1 species
UACGUAGGGGGCAAGCGUUGUCCGGAAUCAUUGGGCGUAAAGCGCGCGUAGGCGGCCCGGUAAGUCCGCUGUAAAAGUCCAGGGCUCAACCCUGGAAAGCCGGUGGAUACUGUCGGGCUCGAGUCCGGAAGAGGCGAGUGGAAUUCCUGGUGUAGCGGUGGAAUGCGCAGAUAUCAGGAGGAACACCAAUAGCGAAGGCAGCUCGCUGGGACGGUACUGACGCUAAGGCGCGAAAGCGUGGGGAGCGAACAGG